UUUCCGUAGGUGAACCUGCGGAAGGAUCAUUACCGAGUGAGGGCCCUCUGGGUCCAACCUCCCACCCGUGUCUAUCGUACCUUGUUGCUUCGGCGGGCCCGCCGUUUCGACGGCCGCCGGGGAGGCCUUGCGCCCCCGGGCCCGCGCCCGCCGAAGACCCCAACAUGAACGCUGUUCUGAAAGUAUGCAGUCUGAGUUGAUUAUCGUAAUCAGUUAAAACUUUCAACAACGGAUCUCUUGGUUCCGGCAUCGAUGAAGAACGCAGCGAAAUGCGAUAAGUAAUGUGAAUUGCAGAAUUCAGUGAAUCAUCGAGUCUUUGAACGCACAUUGCGCCCCCUGGUAUUCCGGGGGGCAUGCCUGUCCGAGCGUCAUUGCUGCCCUCAAGCACGGCUUGUGUGUUGGGCCCCCGUCCCCCUCUCCCGGGGGACGGGCCCGAAAGGCAGCGGCGGCACCGCGUCCGGUCCUCGAGCGUAUGGGGCUUUGUCACCUGCUCUGUAGGCCCGGCCGGCGCCAGCCGACACCCAACUUUAUUUUUCUAAGGUUGACCUCGGAUCAGGUAGGGAUACCCGCUGAACUUAAGCAUAUCAAUAAGCGGAGGA
rnacentral:rRNA from 1 species